rnacentral:rRNA from 1 species
UACGAAGGGGGCUAGCGUUGCUCGGAAUCACUGGGCGUAAAGCGCACGUAGGCGGCUUUUUAAGUCAGAGGUGAAAUCCUGGAGCUCAACUCCAGAACUGCCUUUGAUACUGAGAGGCUUGAGUCCGGGAGAGGUGAGUGGAACUGCGAGUGUAGAGGUGAAAUUCGUAGAUAUUCGGAAGAACACCAGUGGCGAAGGCGGCUCACUGGCCCGGUACUGACGCUGAGACGCGAAAAGCGUGGGGAGCAAACAGGG